rnacentral:snoRNA from 1 species
GGGGGGUGAUGUUAGAAAAUAUUUGCUACUUCAGAGGUUUUGCCAAUGAGACAUCAAAAUAUCACCAAGAUCUCUGACCCC